UGAAAGCAACGGUAUUGCUGGCUGCAAUCUGAAUAGCUUCACCGGUUUGCGGGUUUUUGCCUGUCCUGGCUGCACGACUGCGUUGCAGAAAAGUACCAAAGCCCACAAGGCUCACAGUAUCUUCUUCUUUGAGUGCUUUGGUAAUAAC
rnacentral:antisense_RNA from 1 species